GAUGAACGCUGGCGGCGUGCCUAAUACAUGCAAGUCGAGCGAACGGACGAGAAGCUUGCUUCUCUGAUGUUAGCGGCGGACGGGUGAGUAACACGUGGAUAACCUACCUAUAAGACUAGGAUAACUUCGGGAAACCGGAGCUAAUACCGGAUGAUAUUUUGAACCGCAUGGUUCAAAAGUGAAAGACGGUCUUGCUGUCACUUAUAGAUGGAUCCGCGCUGCAUUAGCUAGUUGGUAAGGUAACGGCUUACCAAGGCAACGAUGCAUAGACGACCUGAGAGGGUGAUCGGCCACACUGGAACUGGGACACGGUCCAGACUCCUACGGGAGGCAGCAGUAGGGAAUCUUCCGCAAUGGGCGAAAGCCUGACGGAGCAACGCCGCGUGAGUGAUGAAGGUCUGCGGAUCGUAAAACUCUGUUAUUAGGGAAGAACAUAUGUGUAAGUAACUGUGCACAUCUUGACGGUACCUAAUCAGAAAGCCACGGCUAACUACGUG
rnacentral:rRNA from 1 species